CUUGCUACAGCUCCACCCAAAUCUCCUGCUUGCUUCUUCAAUCCCUGCCUUUCCACCCAAGCGCAAAGGAGACUUCUAUGGAGGAAGAACUAAAGACAAGAUUUUGAAAUGUUGAAAAGUUUCAAACCCUCAGGAAAGUUGGAAAAAUAAUACAGCACUGGUUUAGAAAAAGCCAGAAUCUCAUAACCCCGAUUCC